rnacentral:rRNA from 1 species
AUACGGAGGGUGCAAGCGUUACUCGGAAUCACUGGGCGUAAAGCGCGCGCAGGCGGCUAUUUAAGUUGGAUGUGAAAGCCUACGGCUCAACCGUAGAACUGCAUCCAAAACUAUUUAGCUAGAGUGUGGGAGAGGAAGAUGGAAUUAGUUGUGUAGGGGUAAAAUCCGUAGAGAUAACUAGGAAUACCAAAAGCGAAGGCGAUCUUCUGGAACAGUACUGACGCUGAGGCGCGAAAGCGUGGGGAGCAAACAGGAUUAGAUACCCCAGUAGUCC